UACGUAGGGGGCAAGCGUUGUCCGGAAUCAUUGGGCGUAAAGAGCGUGUAGGCGGCCCGGUAAGUCCGCUGUGAAAGUCGAGGGCUCAACCCUCGAAUGCCGGCGGAUACUGUCGGGCUAGAGUCCGGAAGAGGCGAGUGGAAUUCCUGGUGUAGCGGUGAAAUGCGCAGAUAUCAGGAGGAACACCGGUGGCGAAGGCGGGUCUCUGGGCCGAUACUGACGCUGAGGAGCGAAAGCGUGGGGAGCAAACAGG
rnacentral:rRNA from 1 species